AAGGUACUCCCUCCGUUCGGAAUUACUUGUCUCGAAAAUGGAUGUAUCUAGAACUAAAAUAAGUCUAGAUACAUCCAUUUCCGCGACAAGUAAUUCCGAACGGAGGGAGUAUAAG
rnacentral:pre_miRNA from 1 species